rnacentral:rRNA from 1 species
UACAGAGGUGGCAAGCGUUGUUCGGAAUUACUGGGCGUAAAGGGCGCGUAGGCGGCCUUCUAAGUCAGACGUGAAAUCCCCCGGCUUAACCUGGGAACUGCGUCUGAUACUGGGAGGCUCGAGUAUGGGAGAGGGAUGUAGAAUUCCAGGUGUAGCGGUGAAAUGCGUAGAUAUCUGGAGGAACACCGGUGGCGAAGGCGGCAUCCUGGACCGGCAUUGACGCUGAGGCGCGAAAGCCAGGGGAGCAAAGCGGG